AUGAACGCUGGCGGCGUGCCUCAUACCUGCAAGUCGAGCGAACGGACGAGAAGCUUGCUUCUCUGAUGUUAGCGGCGGACGGGUGAGUAACCCGUGGAUAACCUACCUAUAAGUCUGGGAUAACUUCGGGAAACCGGAGCUAAUACCGGAUAAUAUUUUGAACCGCAUGGUUCAAAAGUGAAAGACGGUCUUGCUGUCACUUAUAGAUGGAUCCGCGCUGCAUUAGCUAGUUGGUAAGGUAACGGCUUACCAAGGCAACGAUGCAUAGCCGACCUGAGAGGGUGAUCGGCCACACUGGAACUGAGACACGGUCCAGACUCCUACGGGAGGCAGCAGUAGGGAAUCUUCCGCAAUGGGCGAAAGCCUGACGGAGCAACGCCGCGUGAGUGAUGAAGGUCUUCGGAUCGUAAAACUCUGUUAUUAGGGAAGAACAUAUGUGUAAGUAACUGUGCACAUCUUGACGGUACCUAAUCAGAAAGCCACGGCUAACUACGUG
rnacentral:rRNA from 1 species